UUUAUUUGCUUUCAAUUUUCAAAUGCUGUGUACAUUCUAAUACUCCAAUUUAAUUGGGCUAAACUUAUUAAAAUCGUUUUUGCUUAAGCCCCCUAAACUAAUCCUAAAUGCUACGUCACUGCCAGCACUUGAAGGGAUUGCCAUCAAGUGUCAAAUAUCAAUGUUUCAAGGAGCAUAAAAGCAUCUAAGCCUAGAAAAAUUACCAAUAAGAGGAAAAUGCCAGACUUUUCCAGGUGGGAACAAGCUAACUUGGUCCCCCUCCCUGCUUCCCCUCCCUCUCUGUUCCAUUGUUCUUUACUGCCUUCCGUAACUGGACUCCUGCUCUGCCUAGGA
rnacentral:misc_RNA from 1 species